GAUGAACGCUGGCGGCGUGCUUAACACAUGCAAGUCGAACGAAGCACUCUAUUUGAUUUUCUUCGGAAAUGAAGAUUUUGUGACUGAGUGGCGGACGGGUGAGUAACGCGUGGGUAACCUGCCUCAUACAGGGGGAUAACAGUUGGAAACGACUGCUAAUACCGCAUAAGCGCACAGGAUCGCAUGAUCUGGUGUGAAAAACUCCGGUGGUAUGAGAUGGACCCGCGUCUGAUUAGCCAGUUGGCAGGGUAACGGCCUACCAAAGCGACGAUCAGUAGCCGACCUGAGAGGGUGACCGGCCACAUUGGGACUGAGACACGGCCCAAACUCCUACGGGAGGCAGCAGUGGGGAAUAUUGCACAAUGGGGGAAACCCUGAUGCAGCGACGCCGCGUGAGCGAAGAAGUAUUUCGGUAUGUAAAGCUCUAUCAGCAGGGAAGAAGAAUGACGGUACCUGACUAAGAAGC
rnacentral:rRNA from 1 species